rnacentral:snRNA from 1 species
UUUGCUUCUUCAGCAUGUGAACUACAGUACACUUAAAAUGAUACAAAGAUGAGUAUGACCCCUGCACAAAGAUGACAUACAAGUUGGUGGUCUUCUAUUUUU